rnacentral:lncRNA from 1 species
CUUUUCUUCUGGGUGUCUGAUGUGCCUCCCUCCUGACUCUGCCUGGACCUGGGGGAAUGGCAACUCCCUCUGUUUCAGCAGCUGUCAUGGUUGCUGCUCAGGAAGCCCCAGGAUCGGAUGGAAGCAGGACAGGUGGGACUGUCGGUUGGCAGACUAGAGCUGUCUUUCGCAGUGGCCUGUGGUUUUGCAGCCCUGGACGCCUCUUGGCCUUGACAUACUUUUCUGUAAAUUGAGGUUUUACAGGACCUUGAGAAACCCUGAACACAUGUCCAUGCUGUUGAAGGUGAUGUCCACUGCUCUUUGGAACAGAAUAAACCAGCUGCUUCUGUGGAGCCUGGCAGACCCCUUGGAGCAGUGUCCUUGGAGAGCUUGCUAUUCAACAGGGCAGUCUAUCAGGGAGACAGUAAAAGCCAUGGAAGAAAUUGGAGAGGUACAUCUGACAGUGGCACGAAUGGCAGAGAGCUGGGCAUGGUACGGCCAUGGUCCAUGGGACUAUGCACGAUGGAACCCCAAGGUGACCCUUGAAGUGUGGCCUGGUCCUUCCCUGAGAGGAUCCAACCAUGCACUGGGAUCAAGCCAAGCUCUUCUCUCUUCUCUGUCCAAUGAACUGAGCGAGAUGCUAAAGUAUCCUGUGGGCCAUGGACUGCCUCCUCCUCCAUCCUGCAGAGACUUUUUCCAGGCUUUUGUUGAACUUUCCUCUCCAGCUUCACUCUCCGCCAUUCCCCUGGUAUCUCAAUCACUUUCUUGUUGCUGGGAUACAAUACCUGAUACCCACAGCCUAGAGGAGAGGUUUGUUUUGACUCACGAUAUCUAGGGAUUCAGUCCAUGGUCUGUUGGCUCCACGGCCAUGGAGGUUCGUGGUAGAAGGGUCUGGCAGGGGAAGCUUCUUACGUCACAGCAGCCAGGAAGCAGAGAGAGAAGGGAGGAGCUGGAGAGCAGACACCCUUCCAGGCCAAGCCCCUACUGCCUGCCUCCCCAACUAGGCCUCAUCUCCUGACAGCUCUGGAUUCACCCGUGAUUUAAUCCACUGAUGAGAGAGAUCCUGCCAUCACCCAGUCACCUCCCAAAGCCCACCUCUGAACACAUGAGACUUCUGGGAAUAUUCUUGAUUGAAGCCACAACACCUGGAUGUUGGAGCUGCUCAGAAAACAACUGUAGCUUAGUCCAUUUGAUGAAUCCCAUCCUCCACUGUCCAUCCACCAGCUGGCGAUGCCCAGAUUUGCGUUGCAUACCUCACGCUUGGCUCUAGACUCAGUGCAUCCUGUCUAUAUCCACAAAGGCCCCGCACCCUGCUUUCUCUCAGUGUUCCUGCAGAGAAUGCCCUUUGAGAGUACCCAUUUAGAACCAGGAUGGUAUCUACUCUCCACACUUCCCCUUUGAGGAUCCCCAGUCUUGUUCCUACCUGGGGACAGAAGUGCCAGCGCCCAUCCCUCACCCUGGGUCACUGCCGUGACUCCCAUUCCUCACCCCGUGUGCACAGGCCGACUGUCUGCCAGCCCCUCCCACAGAGGGGAGUGCAGCUUGUCCUUCCCCCUAUAAACUCUUUGGCUUCCCUCAUCAGUUCCCCAGAGCUUUCAAAAUCAAGUUCAGAUUCUGUAGCACAGUGCAGAUGACCCUCUCUGAGCUGGGCGCCUCUGACCUGGUCAUCUUUUGUACCCAUCUCCCUUCUAACUCUGCCAAGCCAUGGACAGCUUCUAGAAUGUGCUGGCCAGUUCCCAAGGUUGCGCCUCUGAAUAUCAAGCUCUUUCUCAAGAAUCCUUUCUUCUCUUUUUCAUUUACUGAAUUUAGGGAAUAAACAGCCAGCCUGAGGUCCUAUCUGGAUUAAAUAUGUACUGGGGAGCUUGCAUCAUGCUAAACCUUUUAACAGCCAGAGGCCAACAUUUAAAAAUCACCAGACUGGUCAUCGCAAAAUAUCUUAACUUCUGCCUUCUAGGUGAUCGGGCAACACUGGGCCAUAGUAAUUGCUGGAGCUGAGGAGCAGAGUAUUCUUUGCUGGGGAGGGGUCUAUGUUACAUUUCGCGCACACCACCCCACUGUCUCCUGCGGGACUGUGAGCUGCACUGCUUUUGCAGGUGGCCUGCCUGGAACCCAACGGCAUUUGCAAGAGAUCCCUGGGCUACCUCCUGCCAGGCAUCGAAACUCAGCCCUUAUCACCUUCUGCAUCAACUUUUGUGACUCAGAAGCCAGUCUCAUACCAGGUUCCACAGGCCUGCAGGGGGUCCCUUCUCAGUGGCAGCAGACAAGAUGCCCACUGAUGAAGUCAAGCGUACGCAGGAGGAGGGACACCCGGGGAAUUGUCUUUUUCCUUGUAAUGGUCAGAAAACAGAAGGGCUGGAACUGGAAAAGAAAUUUGAGGAGAUCUGUGCUUCCUGACUCUGCGAGGCUCUGUCUUGCUGGGCUUGCUGAUGGGCCACCUGAUAGCACGGGAAGAGGAAGCCGGCCCCAGGCCCUGGAAGGACGCUCAGCCGCAGGUGUCCUCGAUUAGGCACCCACCUCCACCUCUCCCACCCCACGCUCUGUUGAUGUUAGAACCAAGUGUCUGAGUGGGGACUUAAGAGUGACUUUGCUGGGAGAGACUCACCGCUGCCUAAGCCCU